rnacentral:lncRNA from 1 species
AUGCAGAAUGAAGAUACGGCCUUUUGUCAGAGAGGAAAAGUACACUUGCAGAGGGAGUCUUCAGCUGGCGGGAAGAGACAAACAGAAGCCAGAACCCAGAAAGUUGGAAGAAGAGAGGAUCCUUUCAGCCACAGAGCCUUGAGGCAGAGACCAACACAGGCACUCUGGUGCCCCACCGUACCACAUGGUGCAUUUGUGCUCCCUCCAGUCUCACGACUGUCAAGAUUCCCUUGUACUAGCCCUGGACUCAUGCACCAUAUUCCAGGGAGGGGCAGGAUCUGGGAAAGUCUCACCAGUCAUCUCCCUUUCCCCCAGGUCUGCCACCCCAUGCCUCACAAAUGGGUGAAACCCUAUGAUCCAAAAACCUCCACACUGAGAAGCACUAAGUAGUUGGAUCCGAGAUGAACUACAGGCUAGUCCCCACUGACAUACGGCCUCUGGUUGGCCACUCACCAACCACUCCAGGAUGCUGCUAACCCAAGAAGGGCAGCUGUCACUGUGCAAAGGCCCAAGUCAUGGCAGGACACACACACCCAACCUUGACCCUUCUUGUUCUCAUGCCUUGACUCCUCUCAGAGGCAGAAUGGCAGCAAGGAUACUGAGGCCAAGAGGACCUGGAACACGAGACGCCUGAGGGUCAAGUAGCAGAGAACCCUUGGUCAGGAGGAGGGUAGUGGGGAAAGUGAGCCUACAGGAUUAGCCCUCACUUAUAAAAUAUAAAUGAAAAGAAACAGUUGUCAAGAAUCUCGAGAUAGUCAUGGAAGAGCAUUAAAUCCCAAAUGUGGGACACUGUCCUGUGUUGAUAUACUGGUCAUACACCCAUGAAGCCGGAGCAGUAUAUACAUACACACAAAAAAACUCCAUUCACCCCAGGCAAGCUUUUUGAAAGAAGAGUUCACACUGGCCAGCCUGUCCUCUCCUGUCUCAGUCACAUCUCAACUCAUCAUAUCAGGCUUCCAUCUCUAAAAUCAGGAAGAGAUCAGGCUUUGUAGGACCUAAAGCUCACACAGUUUUGAGACCAGUGUUAAGAAGACAGAUUCUAAAAUAUGAGCCUGUGAUUAAGUAUAUAAAGGAGAACAUGCAUUUGAGUGGUCUAAAGCUUAAACUCCAUUAGCUUCACUGUAAAUCCUCCUCUGCUCACAAUUUUGCUCUACUGUUCUCCCCAUUUUCCUCAAUUGCCACAUCUAAUGGACAAAUUUUGGUCUGAGUCUCACUUGAUUUCUUCCCCAUAAUUGAUAUGAAGAUCAUUGAUUACUUGCUCCUCGAAAUCCCCUAAGAUGGCUUCUGAUACAUCAUCUAUCUUCUGGGCUAACUCAUUUCAUCAACUUUCAUUGGCUUUCUCUCCAAUUCUUCCACCUGUGCUACCUCAGUAACUCUUAGUAUCUAUAUUUGUUUUAAAGGAAAGAUAUUGCUUAAAACUACAUUAUAUAUCAUAUAUGCAAGUGGUUUAUAAAUUGUAAAGCACUACAUAAAUAUAAAAUGUUAUUAUUACUAGGUGAUUGAUUCUAUAAUUUGUUCAGCAAAGAGUAUCUUAACUUUCCAAAUGAUCCUUUUAUAUCCUAAAAGAGAUAUGUAUGUAAGAGAUUCAUGCAAGUUACAGAAAUGACUUUAUGAUUUAUACAUUAUUUUUAUGUGUCUUACUUUUUUGUACUCCCCAUUACAAAAUAAAUAACACUGAAAAAUUAAGGAAAUGACAUUUAUUAUGUGUAUAUCUCUGUUUCUCUGAUUAUAUGAGUGGAAUUUUUACUUUUAUGGAAAUUAGUUGCAUGAAACUCAAGCAAAUAUAUUUAAAUGCAGCAUAUAUACUUCCCUAAAUGUAAAUUAAUCUGUCCAAGUGAAAAACCAACCAAAACACAGAUUUCUUUUUCCUUAUUAGAGUUUGCCCACUUAUGCCACUCAAAAUAAUGACUAUAUUUUGCUAUAAAUUAUUUUUCUAUGGAAUUUGAAUAGUUUUAUCUCUGCCUUAAUCAGAAUCAACCUAUCUGAAGGCAGAGAUAAUUUAUAAAUUAUUAUUUCCUUGUUUUAAGGUUAAUCACAGUUUCAAAAACUAUCCAACACACACACAAAAAAAAUUUAAGUCCACUUCGGCUUGUGAAAGGCUUCAUUUAAGAUAAUAAAAACACAUUUCAUGGCUAAUCGCCAAAAGAAGAAUGAUAAUUUCUUAUUUAUAAUGGUGACUUAUUUUUCCUCUAAAGAAUGGGGUAUAGGCAUCCAUAAUCUUCAUCUUUGCAAAUCAAUCAUUAUAAUCGAG